AAGUCGUAACAAGGUUUCCGUAGGUGAACCUGCGGAAGGAUCAUUACAGAGUUAGGGUCUUCUGGGCCCGAUCUCCCACCCUGUGUUUACAGUUACCUUUGUUGCUUCGGCGGGCCCGUCUUCAUUGACCACCGGGGUCUCAUGUCCCGGUCCGUGCCCGUCGGAGGCCUUCAUCAAUUCUAUUAGAAAUUGCUGUCUGAAUACCAUAUAAAAUGAAACAAAACUUUCAACAACGGAUCUCUUGGUUCUG
rnacentral:misc_RNA from 1 species